ACAUGAAGCUGGAAUUGCUAGUAAUCACAGGUCAGCAUACUGUGGUGAAUACCGUUCCCGGGCCUUGUACACACCGCCCGUCACACCAUGAGAGUUGAGAAUACCCGAAGCCCAUGUCAAAGUGGUCGAAGGUAGGCUUGAUGAUUGGGGUGAAGUCGUAACAAGGUAGC
rnacentral:rRNA from 1 species